AACAUAUCACUAAGCUCUCUAAAUAUAAAUUGAAUACAACUGAUGUAAAUGAUGAUUAAAUAAUUAUCCUCCCAAUGUCACUGAUUUAGUUCGGCAGAUUUAACCAUAGACUAGAAUCUGUUCUGCUGUCUGUCCUAUUGACCGAUCUUAUAGUCGACUUCUUCUUUGGUUCCUUAGUCUUUGUUGUUAACAGACGACAUACGUCACGUAUCUGCUCAUUGGGAAAAAAGACAAAGGUGAAAAAGGAAAGAGAAACUAGUUUAUAUAUAUAUUGAAUCAAACCAAGGCACAAUUCUCUGUGUUUCUUAUAGAAUUACAGAGGUAUUUCAGCAGGAUAUUAUAUAUUGUGCUUUAUUUCUCUAAAAAUACACAUGUUUAAAACAUGUGGUCAAAAUUCUUCAUUGGCUUCCUGUCAUUAUGCAAAUGAUUGGUUCUGGUUUAAAGUCUUGAUCUAAAGCUGUGAGGCUGCAGAAGAAGAGAAACUCCCAUCAGAUCAUCUUCAACACCAACAUGCUCUCUGUAGCUCUGCUGCUGCUGCUGGCUGCUGGAUCCUAUGUAUCAUGUGAAACUCUGAAUCAGCCAGCAUCUUUAACUGUGCAGCCAGGUCAACGUCUGACCAUCAGAUGUCAGGUCUCUUAUGAUCUGCUCACCUGGACAGGUUGGAUCAGACAGGCUGCUGGGAAAGGACUGGAAUGGAUUGGGAUGAAAGGCACUGGCUACUCGUCCUACAAAGACUCACUGAAAAACAAGUUCAGUAUUGACUUAGACACUUCCAGUAAAACCGUGACUCUAAUUGGACAGAAUAUGCAGCCUCAAGACUCUGCUGUGUAUUACUGUGCCAGAGACACAGUGACACAAAAAAGCAGCAGAGCUGUACAAAAACCCCUCAGAGCCUGGAUGGUAGUUAUAUAGAAUCACCAGAGGAGGCGCUCUAAGACCAUUUUUUGUUGCUGUUUAAUUUGAAAGAAAGUUUUAACAGCAAGCUUUAAAGGUUGAGCAGUAAUAAUCAUAAUAUAUCAAAAUAUGAUUAUGUAGUUCCUUGACAUACUGUAAAGUGUAUUUACAUUAUCAUGCAAAUUAACAGUCUCUGCUGUGUAUUUCUGUCUUGUCUGGUUUAUAGUUUGUGUCUCCAGCAUCAGUGUGAUGAACACACUCCAUGUUCUUCUUUUCCUCUUCUUACAAUUGAGUUUACAAAACCCAAUUUCAGAAUAAUCAACACACUCCUAGCAAAACAAUACACAUAUAUGGAUUUUAUUUACAAUAUUUUGCCAACUGUCUGGCACACUGUUACUUGUUUAAGAUAAAUAGUUCACUUUUCAAUCA